UCUUAGUCACCUUCAUCAAAUGUCCCAUGCGAUGACGUUCAAUUAUCAAGUAUUAGUUUACUUUUACGCAAAGGUUGAUUUUUUAUCUUACCUUUUAAUUUUUCCCCUUUUAUUUUGUAUCUUUUCUUCAUAAAUGUCUUCUUCGAGUUCCGAGUCGCUGGAUAACUCGCUGGACGACUUCCAUAGGCUAGUAGCCAAGUACACAAUUAGAUAUGCCAUCGAAAAGCUCCUGCUUUUGAACCUGGGAAGGAAAAAGCAGUUGAUAGACAACUUACCUCGACUGAAAAAAUAUGAACUGGCUUCGGAAGCUGAUGUUGAAAACAACAUCGAUUAUGUAAAAUCAACUUUAAUUGAAAUUUGCAAAGAGAUUGAAUACGAUGGAAGUUUUUACAAAUUGCAAAAAUUUUCAAUGGGAGAAAGGUCACAAGAUCCAAUAGGACAAAGCUUUUUGCGUAUGUACGCUAUUAAUAAAUCGAUGGCAGAAUAUUUAGAGAAGAAAGUCCCAGAAGAAGAAAAUAUAUUUAAGGAAUCGGAAAAGGAAAUGAUGAUGGAUGAAAACACGUUGGAUGAACGUAGCUUGAAUAACACUACGCAGCGUGAAAUGGAAAUUCGCUACAAUCAAAAUUGGGAAGAGGCCAAACUGGACCAAUUUAAAUAUCAAUUAGAACAAGAAGAAAGUCAAAAUUACCUUCAGUAUGAUCGAUACAAAUCAUUACUAAUCAGAGAAGAAGAGGCUGCCAAACAUUUGAUUGGUUGGGACUCGAGAAAUGGGCGGAAUUUGCUCGGUUUUGUUGUUUUUGGUUUUGUUUGGAUAUUCAAACUCAAAUGAACAGUGUACGGCGUCGGAAAAGUGUUCGGGACAACCAGCAGCCAAUAAAUACAGCGAAGAUGAGUGCUAUUACUAUCGACAUUAAGAAAGGUGAGAAGGCAUUGGAAAACCUCACAGUGUCUAUCGAUGGUAACUCAAUUGGGGACCUUCUUGCAUCACUGAAAACAGCUAAAAAUGAC
rnacentral:misc_RNA from 1 species